CCUCGGUUGCAGGUUUUUGAUCUCUAUGGAACGGCAUUUCAGAAUUAAUAUUUAAACUAUUCCUUUGCUUUGUCAAUAUAAAAUCAACAAGUUUAACUGAAACACCACAAACUUAAAAAGAAGCAGUUACGUUGCGUCAUGAAUCGAUUUUUGCUAACUUUUUCAACUAAGUAAGUAGCUUGAUCUUGUUCAAUCAAUUUG
rnacentral:lncRNA from 1 species